rnacentral:rRNA from 1 species
GCAAGUCGAGCGCGAACGUCACUUCGGUGGCUAGUACAGCGGCGGACGGGUGAGUAACGCGUGGAUACUCUGCCCUUUGGCGGGGGACAACAGCUCGAAAGGGUUGCUAAUACCGCAUAAGUCUUUGUCGGCCUCGGUCGGCAAAGGGAAAGAUGGCCUCUUCUUGAAAGCUAUCACCGAAGGAUGAGUCCGCGUAGCAUCAGCUUGUUGGUGGGGUAAUGGCCUACCAAGGCUAAGACGCAUAGCUGGUCUGAGAGGAUGAGC